CUUACGCGUGGCAGCAGUGAGGAAUAUUGGUCAAUGGCCGUAAGGCUGAACCAGCCAAGUCGCGUGAAGGAAGAAGGAUCUAUGGUUUGUAAACUUCUUUUAUAGGGGAAUAAAGGUAUCCACGUGUGGGUAUUUGCAUGUACCCUAUUAAUAAGCAUCGGCUAACUACGUGCCAGCAGCCGCGGUAUUACGGAGGUUGCGGGCGUUAUCCGGAUUUAUUGGGUUUAAAGGGUGCGUAGGUUGUUUGUUAGGUCAUCGGUGAAAGGUUGUGGCUCAACCAUAAAAUUGACGUGGAAACUGGAAGACUUGAGUGUGUUUGAGGUAGGCGGAAUGCGUGGUGUAACGGUGAAAUGCAUAGAUAUCACGCAGAACUCCGAUUGCGAAGGCAGCUUACUAAGCCAUAACUGACACUGAAGAACGAAAGCGUGGGGAUCAAACAGGAUUAGAUACCCGUGUAGUC
rnacentral:rRNA from 1 species